GACUGGCGUAAGGGUGAGUAAUGGAUAGGUAACGUACCCUCGGCUUCGGGAUAGCGCCCCGAAAGGGACGGUAAUACCGGAUAACGUCAGGAAACGAAAGGCUCCUGACCAAAGAUUUAUCGGCCGGGGAGCGGCCUAUUUCCUAUCAGCUUGUUGGUGUGGUAACGGCGCACCAAGGCUAAGACGGGUAGCGGGACUGAGAGGUCGAUCCGCCACAUCGGGACUGAGACACUGCCCGGACCCCCACGGGGGGCUGCAGUAACGAAUCUUGCGCAAUGGGCGAAAGCCUGACGCAGCGACGCCGCGUGUGGGAGGAAGUCCUUCGGGAUGUAAACCACUGUCAGGGGAAGGAAAAUCCCGAUACGUCGGGAAUGAUCUUACCCAAAGGAAGUCACGGCUAACUUCGUGCCAGCAGCCGCGGUAAGACGAAGGUGGCUAGCGUUGUUCGGUAUCACUGGGCUUAAAGAGUGUGUAGGCGGAAGUGUAAGCGCUUUGUGAAACCCCUCGGCUUAACCGAGGAAUCGCUCGGCGAACUACACUUCUUGAGGCAGGCAGGGGUGCAUGGAACUCUUGGUGGAGCGGUGGAAUGCGUAGAUAUCAAGAGGAACGCCAGUGGUGAAAACGGCGCACUGGGCCUGACCUGACGCUCAGACACGAAAGCGUGGGGAGCGAACGGGAUUAGAUACCCCGGUAGUCCACGCCGUAAACGAUGUCUACUAGGCUCCGGCGGUUCUGACACCGGCGAAGCCGAAGCAAAAGUGUUAAGUAGACCGCCUGGGGAGUACGGCCGCAAGGCUAAAACUCAAAGGAAUUGACGGGGGCUCACACAAGCGGUGGAGCAUGUGGAUCAAUUCGAAGCAACGCGCAGAACCUUACCUGGGUUUGACAUGCUUGGAUGCUUCCCCGGAAACGGGGUAAGUUGCCCUUACGGGUGAAACUUGCACAGGUGCUGCAUGGCUGUCGUCAGCUCGUGUCGUGAGAUGUUGGGUUAAGUCCUUGAACGAGCGAAACCCUUGCCGUUAGUUACCAGCGGUUCGGCCGGGAACUCUAACGGGACUGCCGGUGUUAAACCGGAGGAAGGUGGGGAUGACGUCAAGUCAUCAUGGCCUUUAUGCCCAGGGCUUCACACGUGCUACAAUGGCGACCACAAAGCGACGCAAUGCCGUGAGGCUGAGCAAAUCGCAAAAAGGUCGCCUCAGUUCGGAUUGUAGGCUGGCAACUCGCCUGCAUGAAGCUGGAAUCGCUAGUAAUCGCGUAUCAGCAAUGACGCGGUGAAUGUGUUCCUGAGCCUUGUACACACCGCCCGUCAAGUGAUGGGAGUCGGGAGUACCCGAAGUCCGGUUGCUAACCACUCGGGAAG
rnacentral:rRNA from 1 species